rnacentral:lncRNA from 1 species
UCUGAUUCAGUUCCUCUCUUGGACAUCAAGUAACGUUCUAGGGUUUCCAUAAAACCCUAAUUCUUGUGGUCUUCUUGCUGGCCGAACAUACCCACUCUUUUGCUUGAUCUUUCCUUUCGUUUUCAUUGUUUCUUGACUUCUUUUGUUUCUAAUUGAAUUGUUUGCAACCUCUAAUUGAAAAGAAAUAAACAAGAAUGCAUCCUCCUAUCAAACCGACCCUUGUUCUCAAAGACUCCAUGAUUUCAAUCGAUUUAUUCAUUCUUUCUUGUUCAAUUUGUUUCGAUAUCUUUGAUGCCCAAUCAAUUAAUAUAGAAUCUAACUUAGUUGUUUUGUGUUUCAGGUUGUUUCAAACAUCAAGUUCCUCUCGACUUGUCUAGAGCAAAUCCACAACUUGGACAACUUUCAAU